rnacentral:rRNA from 1 species
AGUGAACGCUGGCGGUAGGCCUAACACAUGCAGGUCGAACGGCAGCACAGUAAGAGCUUGCUCUUACGGGUGGCGAGUGGCGGACGGGUGAGGAAUACAUCGGAAUCUACUUUUUCGUGGGGGAUAACGUAGGGAAACUUACGCUAAUACCGCAUACGACCUACGGGUGAAAGCAGGGGAUCUUCGGACCUUGCGCGAUUGAAUGAGCCGAUGUCGGAUUAGCUAGUUGGCGGGGUAAAGGCCCACCAAGGCGACGAUCCGUAGCUGGACUGAGAGGAUGAUCAGCCACACUGGAACUGAGACACGGUCCAGACUCCUACGGGAGGCAGCAGUGGGGAAUAUUGGACAAUGGGCGCAAGCCUGAUCCAGCCAUACCGCGUGGGUGAAGAAGGCCUUCGGGUUGUAAAGCCCUUUUGUUGGGAAAGAAAAGCAGCAGGUUAAUACCCCGCUGUUCUGACGGUACCCGAAGAAUAAGCACCGGCUAACUUCGUG